rnacentral:rRNA from 1 species
CAAGUCUUGACAUCCCUCUGAAUCCUCUAGAGAUAGAGGCGGCCUUCGGGACAGAGGUGACAGGUGGUGCAUGGUUGUCGUCAGCUCGUGUCGUGAGAUGUUGGGUUAAGUCCCGCAACGAGCGCAACCCUUUUCCUUAUUUGCCAGCGAGUAAUGUCGGGAACUUUAAGGAUACUGCCAGUGACAAACUGGAGGAAGGCGGGGAUGACGUCAAGUCAUCAUGGCCCUUACGGCCAGGGCUACACACGUGCUACAAUGGUCGGUACAAAGGGUUGCUACCUAGCGAUAGGAUGCUAAUCUCAAAAAGCCGAUCGUAGUCCGGAUUGGAGUCUGCAACUCGACUCCAUGAAGUCGGAAUCGCUAGUAAUCGCGGAUCAGAAUGCCGCGGUGAAUACGUUCCC